rnacentral:sRNA from 1 species
GCUGGGUGUGGUGGCGGGCGCCUGUAAUCCCAGCUACUCAGGAGGCUGAGGCAGGAGAAUUGCUUGAACCCAGGAGGUGGAGGUUGCAGUGAGCCAAGAUCAUACCACUGCACUCUAGCCUGGGUGACAGAGCAAGACUUGGUCUCAA